AGCCCUGCUCACCCGGCGCGCGCCGAUGUGCUGCUGCGUCCUCCGGGCCACCAGCCCGCCGCCUCUCGAGGCCAGGGACCCUCCCCGAGCAGUGCGGGUGCGGCCCACCUGCUCGCAACGAAACUCCUGCUCGUCUGGAUUCCCCUGAGGGUGUGCGCUGGGUCAGCCCGCGCGUGUCUGCGGAGACGGUCCCUCAUCACACUCUCCACGGGAUCCGAGGACUGAGAACCCCUGCACUAUGUUUAACUUAUUUGAGAUGUCGUUGUCACUUAGAGUCGGGCCCACUCUUGCUUAAGAAACCAACUUGGAUUUGCAAGGAUGGCAGGCUCAGCGCCACUUGCCAGCAACACCCAAUCACUGCCACCUUCCUUUCCAAGAUGUCCAUCCAGAUAAGCCCCAAGUGUGAAUUAAACUGUAUUGCCGACAGAGACACCGACAACUAAAAUAUUAUGCUACAACACUGGCCACGAAGGAGCGCUGGUUGCUGUGACCAGGUCUGUUACUUCAUGAGCCAUCUAGUGAAACUUCUAGAGAACUGAUGAACAACAAAACACAACUUCAUCUAUGCUUUUAUCUCCUUGUAUUGCUCUUGGAACUGCACUCAUUAAAAUGUGUUCGUUUUGCA